AGCGAACGCUGGCGGCAGGCUUAACACAUGCAAGUCGAACGCCCCGCAAGGGGAGUGGCAGACGGGUGAGUAACACGUGGGAACGUACCCUUUGGUUCGGAAUAACUUGGGGGAACUCAAGCUAAUACCGGAUAAGCCCUUAUGGGGAAAGGUUUACUGCCGAAGGAUCGGCCCGCGUCUGAUUAGCUAGUUGGUGAGGUAAUGGCUCACCAAGGCGACGAUCAGUAGCUGGUCUGAGAGGAUGAUCAGCCACACUGGGACUGAGACACGGCCCAGACUCCUACGGGAGGCAGCAGUGGGGAAUAUUGGACAAUGGGGGCAACCCUGAUCCAGCCAUGCCGCGUGAGUGAUGAAGGCCUUAGGGUUGUAAAGCUCUUUUACCCGGGACGAUAAUGACUGUACCGGGAGAAUAAGCCCCGGCUAACUUCGUGCCAGCAGCAGCCGCCG
rnacentral:rRNA from 1 species